GAGCUCGUAGCUCAGGGGUAGAGCAUGCGCCUUUUAAGCGCGGGGUCGUGGGUUCGAUUCCCACCGGGCUCA
rfam:Elusimicrobia bacterium RBG_16_66_12 RBG_16_scaffold_13757, whole genome shotgun sequence.